rnacentral:rRNA from 1 species
UACGGGGGGGGGCAAGCGUUGUUCGGAAUUACUGGGCGUAAAGGGCUCGUAGGUGGCCAACUAAGUCAGACGUGAAAUCCCCAGGCUCAACUUGGGAACUGCGUCUGAUACUGGAUGGCUUGAAUUCGGGAGAGGGAUGCAGAAUUCCAGGUGUAGCGGUGAAAUGCGUAGAUAUCUGGAGGAAUACCGGUGGCGAAGGCGGCAUCCUGGACCGAGAUUGACACUGAUGAGCGAAAAGCUAGGGGAGCGAAACGGG